rnacentral:rRNA from 1 species
CAGCCGCCGCGGGAAUACGUAGGGUGCGAGCGUUAAUCGGAAUUACUGGGCGUAAAGCGUGCGCAGGCGGUUGUAUAAGACAGGUGUGAAAUCCCCGGGCUUAACCUGGGAACUGCAUUUGAGACUGUAUGGCUAGAGUGUGUCAGAGGGGGGUAGAAUUCCACGUGUAGCAGUGAAAUGCGUAGAUAUGUGGAGGAAUACCGAUGGCGAAGGCAGCCCCCUGGGAUAACACUGACGCUCAUGCACGAAAGCGUGGGGAGCAAACAGGAUUAGAUACCCGCGUAGUCCCUGUCUCUUAUAC